UACGGAGGGUGCAAGCGUUGUCCGGAUUUAUUGGGUUUAAAGGGUGCGUAGGCGGCCUAUUAAGUCAGGUGUGAAAGACGGUAGCUUAACUAUCGCAGCGCCUUUGAUACUGAUAGGCUUGAAUGUACUUAAGGUAGGCGGAAUGUGACAAGUAGCGGUGAAAUGCAUAGAUAUGUCACAGAACACCAAUGGCGAAGGCAGCUUACUAAAGUAGGAUUGACGCUGAGGCACGAAAGCGUGGGGAUCAAACAGG
rnacentral:rRNA from 1 species